AAUAGAUAAGAUGCUUUCUGAAAAGUUUUCAGAAGUAGAACAAGUAUGUGAUCAAAUUGGAUUUGCAAUAUUUAGGCAAGAGGAAUGUUUUUUUGUUAAAGAGUAUGCAACAGUUGUGGAACCUUUGGCGAUCUCGUUAAAAAUCUUGGAACGGGAGGAUAAUAUGGAGCAGGGAAAUCUAACUCCCGUUCUAUCGAUAUUGAUAGAUAAAUUAACGAAAUUUAGCUGCCUGCGGUAUUGUCAGCCCCUUGUAGAUAGUGUUCUUAGAGGUAUUGAUAAAAGAUUUCCUUCGCUGUAUGAAAAC